rnacentral:rRNA from 1 species
GUAAUAGCUCACUAGUCGAGUCGGCCUGCGCGGAAGAUGUAACGGGGCUCCAACCACACACCGAAGCUGCGGGUGUCACGCAAGUGACGCCGGUAGAGGAGCGUUCUGUAAGCCUGUGAAGGUGAGUUGAGAAGCUUGCUGGAGGUAUCAGAAGUGCGAAUGCUGACAUGAGUAACGACAAUGGGUGUGAAAAACACCCACGCCGGAAAGACCAAGGGUUCCUGCGCAACGUUAAUCGACGCAGGUUAGUCGGUUUCCUAAGGCGAGGCUGAAAAAGCGUAGUCGAUGGGAAACAGGUUAAUAUUCCUGUACUUCUGGUUACUGCGAUGGAGGGACGGAGAAGGCUAGGCCAGCUUGGCGUUGGUUGUCCAAGUUUAAAGGUGGUAGGCUGAAAUCUUAGGUAAAUCCGGGUUUCAAGGCCGGAGAGCUGAUGACGAGUCGUCUUUUAGAUGACGAAGUGGUUGAUGCCAUGCUUCCAAGAAAAGCUUCUAAGCUUCAGGUAACCAGGAACCGUACCCCAAACCGACACAGGUGGUCGGGUAGAGAAUACCAAGGCGCUUGAGAGAACUCGGGUGAAGGAACUAGGCAAAAUGGCACCGUAACUUCGGGAGAAGGUGCGCCGGCUAGGGUGAAGGAUUUACUCCGUAAGCUCUGGCUGGUCGAAGAUACCAGGCCGCUGCGACUGUUUAUUAAAAACACAGCACUCUGCAAACACGAAAGUGGACGUAUAGGGUGUGACGCCUGCCCGGUGCCGGAAGGUUAAUUGAUGGGGUUAGCGCAAGCGAAGCUCUUGAUCGAAGCCCCGGUAAACGGCGGCCGUAACUAUAACGGUCCUAAGGUAGCGAAAUUCCUUGUCGGGUAAGUUCCGACCUGCACGAAUGGCGUAACGAUGGCGGCGCUGUCUCCACCCGAGACUCAGUGAAAUUGAAAUCGCUGUGAAGAUGCAGUGUAUCCGCGGCUAGACGGAAAGACCCCGUGAACCUUUACUGUAGCUUUGCACUGGACUUUGAGCCUGCUUGUGUAGGAUAGGUGGGAGGCUUUGAAGCGUGGACGCCAGUUCGCGUGGAGCCAUCCUUGAAAUACCACCCUGGCAUGCUUGAGGUUCUAACUCUGGUCCGUGAUCCGGAUCGAGGACAGUGUAUGGUGGGCAGUUUGACUGGGGCGGUCUCCUCCUAAAGAGUAACGGAGGAGUACGAAGGUGCGCUCAGACCGGUCGGAAAUCGGUCGCAGAGUAUAAAGGCAAAAGCGCGCUUGACUGCGAGACAGACACGUCGAGCAGGUACGAAAGUAGGUCUUAGUGAUCCGGUGGUUCUGUAUGGAAGGGCCAUCGCUCAACGGAUAAAAGGUACUCCGGGGAUAACAGGCUGAUACCGCCCAAGAGUUCAUAUCGACGGCGGUGUUUGGCACCUCGAUGUCGGCUCAUCACAUCCUGGGGCUGAAGCCGGUCCCAAGGGUAUGGCUGUUCGCCAUUUAAAGUGGUACGCGAGCUGGGUUUAGAACGUCGUGAGACAGUUCGGUCCCUAUCUGCCGUGGACGUUUGAGAUUUGAGAGGGGCUGCUCCUAGUACGAGAGGACCGGAGUGGACGAACCUCUGGUGUUCCGGUUGUCACGCCAGUGGCAUUGCCGGGUAGCUAUGUUCGGAAAAGAUAACCGCUGAAAGCAUCUAAGCGGGAAACUUGCCUCAAGAUGAGAUCUCACUGGGAACUUGAUUCCCCUGAAGGGCCGUCGAAGACUACGACGUUGAUAGGCUGGGUGUGUAAGCGUUGUGAGGCGUUGAGCUAACCAGUACUAAUUGCCCGUGAGGCUUGACCAU